UAACACAUGCAAGUCGAGGGGCAGCAUGGUCUUAGCUUGCUAAGGCCGAUGGCGACCGGCGCACGGGUGAGUAACACGUAUCCAACCUGCCGUCUACUCUUGGACAGCCUUCUGAAAGGAAGAUUAAUACAAGAUGGCAUCAUGAGUCCGCAUGUUCACAUGAUUAAAGGUAUUCCGGUAGACGAUGGGGAUGCGUUCCAUUAGAUAGUAGGCGGGGUAACGGCCCACCUAGUCUUCGAUGGAUAGGGGUUCUGAGAGGAAGGUCCCCCACAUUGGAACUGAGACACGGUCCAAACUCCUACGGGAGGCAGCAAUGAGGAAUAUUGGUCAAUGGGCGAGAGCCUGAACCAGCCAAGUAGCGUGAAGGAUGACUGCCCUAUGGGUUGUAAACUUCUUUUAUAAAGGAAUAAAGUCGGGUAUGCAUACCCGUUUGCAUGUACUUUAUGAAUAAGGAUCGGCUAACUCCGUGCCAGCAGCCGCGGUAAUACGGAGGAUUCGAGCGUUAUCCGGAUUUAUUGGGUUUAAAGGGAGCGUAGAUGGAUGUUUAAGUCAGUUGUGAAAGUUUGCGGCUCAACCGUAAAAUUGCAGUUGAUACUGGAUAUCUUGAGUGCAGUUGAGGCAGGCGGAAUUCGUGGUGUAGCGGUGAAAUGCUUAGAUAUCACGAAGAACUCCGAUUGCGAAG
rnacentral:rRNA from 1 species